GAUGAACGCUGGCGGCGUGCCUAAUACAUGCAAGUCGAACGAACAGACGAGGAGCUUGCUCCUCUGACGUUAGCGGCGGACGGGUGAGUAACACGUGGAUAACCUACCUAUAAGACUGGGAUAACUUCGGGAAACCGGAGCUAAUACCGGAUAAUAUAUUGAACCGCAUGGUUCAAUAGUGAAAGUCGGUUUUGCUGUCACUUAUAGAUGGAUCCGCGCCGCAUUAGCUAGUUGGUAAGGUAACGGCUUACCAAGGCGACGAUGCGUAGCCGACCUGAGAGGGUGAUCGGCCACACUGGAACUGAGACACGGUCCAGACUCCUACGGGAGGCAGCAGUAGGGAAUCUUCCGCAAUGGGCGAAAGCCUGACGGAGCAACGCCGCGUGAGUGAUGAAGGUCUUCGGAUCGUAAAACUCUGUUAUUAGGGAAGAACAAAUGUGUAAGUAACUAUGCACGUCUUGACGGUACCUAAUCAGAAAGCCACGGCUAACUACGUG
rnacentral:rRNA from 1 species